AGUGAACGCUGGCGGUAGGCCUAACACAUGCAAGUCGAACGGCAGCACAGUAAGAGCUUGCUCUUACGGGUGGCGAGUGGCGGACGGGUGAGGAAUACAUCGGAAUCUACUUUUUCGUGGGGGAUAACGUAGGGAAACUUACGCUAAUACCGCAUAUGUCCUACGGGUGAAAGCAGGGGAUCUUCGGACCUUGCGUGAUUGAAUGAGCCGAUGUCGGAUGAGCUAGUUGGCGGGGUAAAGGCCCACCAAGGCGACGAUCCGUAGCUGGUCUGAGAGGAUGGUCAGCCACAAUGGAACUGAGCCACGGUCCAGACUCCUACGGGAGGCAGAAGUGGGGAAUAUUGGACAAUGGGCGCAAGCCUGAUCCAGCCAUACCGCGUGGGUGAAGAAGGCCUUCGGGUUGUAAAGCCCUUUUGUUGGGAAAGAAAAGCAGCAGGUUAAUACCCCGCUGUUCUGACGGUACCCAAAGAAUAAGCACCGGCUAACUUCGUG
rnacentral:rRNA from 1 species